rnacentral:rRNA from 1 species
GACGUAGGGUGCAAGCGUUGUCCGGAUUUAUUGGGCGUAAAGAGCUCGUAGGCGGCUCGUCGCGUCGACUGUGAAAACUCGGGGCUUAACCCCGGGCUUGCAGUCGAUACGGGCGGGCUGGAGUUCGGUAGGGGAGACUGGAAUUCCUGGUGUGGCGGUGAAAUGCGCAGAUAUCAGGAGGAACACCGGUGGCGAAGGCGGGUCUCUGGGCCGAUACUGACGCUGAGGAGCGAAAGCGUGGGGAGCAAACAGG